CUAGGCGGACGGGUGAGUAACGCGUAAAGAACUUGCCCUUUAGACUGGGAUAACAGAGGGAAACUUCUGAUAAUACUGGAUAAGUUAGUAUAUCGCAUGAUAUGCAAAUGAAAGCUACGGCACUAAAGGAGAGCUUUGCGUCCUAUUAGCUAGUUGGUAAGGUAAGAGCUUACCAAGGCGAUGAUAGGUAGCCGGCCUGAGAGGGUGGACGGCCACAAGGGGACUGAGAUACGGCCCUUACUCCUACGGGAGGCAGCAGCG
rnacentral:rRNA from 1 species